GGUGCAGUACGCCAGCGGCUGAGCGGCUUGUUUUAGAAACAAGUGUUUGUGGGUUCGAAUCCCCCCUGCACCA
rnacentral:tRNA from 2 species